rnacentral:rRNA from 1 species
GACGAACGCUGGCGGCGCGCUUUAUGCAUGCAAGUCGAACGGACCUUCGGGUCGAGUGGCGGACGGCUGAGUAACGCGUAGGCAAUCUGCCCAGUGGUGGGGGAGUAACUCGCCGAAAGGUGAGCUAAUACCGCAUAAGUUCGGUAGUUGAAAUCACCGCCGAGGAAAGCAGCAAUGCACCACUGGAGGAGCCUGCGUCCUAUCAGGUAGUUGGUGGGGUAACGGCCUACCAAGCCGAUGACGGGUAGCUGGUCUGAGAGGACGACCAGCCAGAAGGGGAC